GCUCUUGUGGCGCAAUCGGCAGCGCGUUCGGCUGUUAACCGAAAGGUCGUUAGUUCGAUCCUAACCAAGAGCG